rnacentral:misc_RNA from 1 species
GAUGAAGAACGUAGCGAAAUGCGAUAAGUAAUGUGAAUUGCAGAAUUCAGUGAAUCAUCGAAUCUUUGAACGCGCAUUGCGCCCCUUGGUAUUCCGAGGGGCAUGCCUAUUCGAGCGUCAUUAUCACCCCUCAAGCCUAGCUUGGUGUUGAGGCCUGCUGUCAAGGCAGCCUCUAAAAUCAGUGGCAGUGCUGUCAGGCUCUAAGCGUAGUAAAUCUAAUCGCUAUAGACACCUGGUGGACACUCGCCAGAACCCCCCCCAUUUUUUAAUGAUUGACCUCGGAUUAGGUAGGGAUACCCGCUGAACUUAAGCAUAUCAAUAAGCGGAGGA